rnacentral:RNase_P_RNA from 1 species
AAUUGAAUAGUCGCUGGUAAAUUUCGAAAGGAAUUACGAGAGGAAAGUCCGGGCUCCAUAGAGCAAAGAUGCUAGAUAACGUCUAGUGAGGGUAACCUUAAGGAAAGUGCAACAGAAAAUAACCGCCUAAGAAAUUAGGUAAGGGUGAAAAGGUGAGGUAAGAGCUUACCGCCAUUAUGGUGACAUAAUGGGUCAGUGUAAACCCCAUCUGGAGCAACACCUAAAUUAGAAGAUUAAGCCUGCUCGGCGACUUCUUACAUGUGUGGCUUGAGGUAAGUAGCAAUACUUAUCCUAGAUAAAUGACUAUUUUAAAAGACAGAACCCGGCUUAUAGAUUUACUUG